GACGAACGCUGGCGGCGUGCUUAACACAUGCCAGUCGAACGGAAAGGCCCUGCUUUUGUGGGGUGCUCGAGUGGCGAACGGGUGAGUAACACGUGAGUAACCUGCCCUUGACUUUGGGAUAACUUCAGGAAACUGGGGCUAAUACCGGAUAGGAGCUCCUGCUGCAUGGUGGGGGUUGGAAAGUUUCGGCGGUUGUGGAUGGACUCGCGGCUUAUCAGCUUGUUGGUGGGGUAGGGGCUUACCAAGGCUUGGACGGGUAGCCGGCCUGAGAGGGUGACGGGCCCCAUAGGGCUGGGGGACGGACCAGGAGGCAACCGGAAGCAAGGGGGGGGAAUAUUACAGAAUGGGGGGGAGGCUGGUAGAAGAAUCGCCGGAGCGGGAAUGACGGCUUUGGGGUGGAAACCGGUUUGGGCUUAAAACGAGACGUCGUGACGGUAAAUGGUCAAAAAGCCACGGCUAACUACGUG
rnacentral:rRNA from 1 species